UACCAGCACCCCGAGUGGUCGGGGCGAUUAUUGGGCCUAAAGCAUCCGUAGCCGGUCCCACAAGUCCUCCGUUAAAUCCAACUGCUUAACAGAUGGGCCGCGGAGGAUACUAUGGGGCUAGGAGGCAGGAGAGGCAAGCGGUACUCAGUGGGUAGGGGUAAAAUCCGUUGAUCCACUGAAGACCACCAGUGGCGAAGGCGGCUUGCCAGAAUGCGCUCGACGGUGAGGGAUGAAAGCUGGGGGAGCAAACCGG
rnacentral:rRNA from 1 species